rnacentral:rRNA from 1 species
GAUGAACGCUAGCGGCAGGCCUAACACAUGCAAGUCGAGGGGUAUUAGGAGCUUGCUCCUAAGAGACCGGCGCACGGGUGCGUAACGCGUAUGCAAUCUACCUUUUACAGGGGAAUAGCCCAGAGAAAUUUGGAUUAAUGCCCCAUAGUAUAUAUUAUUCGCAUGUUUGAUAUAUUAAAGUUCCAACGGUAAAAGAUGAGCAUGCGUCCCAUUAGUUAGUUGGUAAGGUAACGGCUUACCAAGACGAUGAUGGGUAGGGGUCCUGAGAGGGAGAUCCCCACACUGGUACUGAGACACGGACCAGACUCCAACGGGAGGCAGCAGUGAGGAAUAUUGGACAAUGGGCGCAAGCCUGAUCCAGCCAUGCCGCGUACAGGAAGAAGCAUCUAUGGUGUGUAAACUGCUUUUGUACGGGAAGAAACACCCCUACGUGAAGGGACUUGACUGUACCGUAAGAAUAAGGAUCGGCUAACUCCGUGCCAGCAGCCGCGGUAA